UACGGGGGGGGCAAGCGGUUGUUCGGAAUUACUGGGCGUAAAGGGCUCGUAGGCGGCCAACUAAGUCAGACGUGAAAUCCCUCGGCUUAACCGGGGAACUGCGUCUGAUACUGGAUGGCUUGAGUUUGGGAGAGGGAUGCGGAAUUCCAGGUGUAGCGGUGAAAUGCGUAGAUAUCUGGAGGAAUACCGGUGGCGAAGGCGGCAUCCUGGACCAUAACUGACGCUGAGGCGCGACAGCGUGGGGAGCAAACAGG
rnacentral:rRNA from 1 species